UGUUGAUAGCCACACCGCUGCAUACAUUUCUUUUCCUUCGCAACGCAGCUGUAGACAAGUUCACUUUUCUCGCGCUCCCGCAACUAAUAAAUGCAUAAAAUGAUUGUGAGGUAUUGGUGAACGUGUUAAAAGCCUGGAAAAUAAAUUGAAAAUGUGUUGCAUCUGGCUGUGAUGCACUGAAAAACCACGCGCACGUGUUGCCUGGAUUAGUAAGCCGGAAAUGUCCACGUGUUGGCGCGCAUCAUUGGUUCUGUUCACCAUGCUUGAGGUGAGUUAAGAUCUGCUGCGGUUGCAGACCACAGGCAAGUGAGGUGUUGUCUAUGGAAAGAGAUAAGCCGGCGGUUCAUCAAGCAGAUCUUUAAGUAUGCCGCAACUUUUAAUGGAUCCGAUGAGAUGUCGAAAAUGUCUGCUCCGAAGCAUUUUAAGCCCGUGCAGAUUGGAAGUGAACUGUCAUUAACUCGCCUCGGCUUUACUUGGCUGGCUGGCACAAACAAUUCUCGAAAUUGAUAAAAACUGUGCCAGUCGAAUGUGUCGAAAAUGAUUUAAAAGUCUUGUACAGAAUAAAUUUGAAUAAAAAUGCUGCUUGAUAUUUUUUAUAA